rnacentral:lncRNA from 1 species
UGAAUUCAGUGGGAAGACAAACACCAGCAUCUCACAGGGAUAUUGGGACAGUCUCUCUGGGCAGGACCUUCUUGUACUACCUUAGCUUCCGUGUUUUUCUCUCCACUUUCUUUCUGCUGGGGAUGUACAAACAACAGCAUCUCUUGCCCAUUAUCGUAAGCUUUUAUAUGGCCAGAGUACUAGACUGAGGCCUCCCAUUUUUGUUUCUAGUCUUUUUCAGAUAGUUGUCUACCUUUUAUUACCUUUGCAAUGUCCAAGGCAUUGAUAUAUUUUUAUAUCUUCACAAGUAACAUUUUCCACCCAUUUAUUCCAUUGCUUUUACAGGUAGAAAGUCCUUUAUUCUCCAAAGAUGUUGUAGAUCUUUACUUAUAUUUCUCAAGUUGCUCUUAAACUGUUCAUUUCCAGUUUUAUCUUGGCUUUAACACUGUAUCAUAAAAGUGAAUAUCAUAUUUUUAUUUUCCUAAGUAGUUAAACAACUUCCCUGAUGCCACUUCUAAAGUUAUCCGUUUGGAAUAAAUGAAUCUUUUACAGAAGACAUAAAGCCAAUUAUUCCACAUGACAUUUUCAAAGCUAUCCCAGAGACCAGCCUGUACAUGCAACAGGUUUGUCUCUGGCUUGACCUUUGUAAGUUCCAGUCAUUGUCAAAAGACACCUCGCUUUCACUUCUACCAGAGUGGUCCAGUCACAAUUCCCUAGGCCCUUUGUUGAGGCAACCAGGCCACCAGAGGUGAUGGAGGGUAAUGCCUUGUUCCCUUGACCCAUUGGAUAGCUUGUUCCUAGGAUUCUCUCAGCCACUGUAGCAAGACUUAACCUGGCCACAUAGCUUCCCUGUUGUACCUUUGUUCUAGUCUAACUUAUCUUACUAAGUAAGCCCUGGAGGGAAAGAAAGGUAUUAUCACUCAGAACUGAGAGGCAUCUGCAGGCUUGUGGCAUGGCAAGGACUUUUAAUGUCACCCUGAAUUCAGCUCCUACCCUUGUCAUUUUUGGGGGUGUCAAAGUGGAGUCAGUUAUUUCCUAAGCCUCAUCAGCUUCCUGAUCUUUAAAAUGGAUUUAACAGCGAACCUACCUUAAAAGUUAUUUUGUAAAGCCUGACAUGGUAGUGCUUAGGAAGCUAAGGCAAGAUCAAAAGUUGUUGUCCUGUUUCAAAUACAUAGCAAGUCCCUGUGUCAGAAAAGUGGGAGGGAGCAGAGAUAGCAUGCCAGUAUCCACUUAGCAUUGACUAGUGAUGGCAAUGAUAAAAUCCUAUGGGGGAAUAUCUUCUUGGAGGAACUAAUUCUACAUCACGGUGAGCACCCUCCUAAUCCAGCCAAGCUCUGAUGAGAAAGCUUUGUGUGCUCUGUGGACUCUGAUAAAGCUCAUAUUCAAAAUAGGCAUCAGUUUGUUUCACUGAUAACUCACUUAUAUACUGCAGUCACUUUCUCAAGAGCUAAUUGUUUUGGAAAGAGCAAAAAGGGCAAAGCAAGACAAGGGAAUCAGGAGGAAACACAAGCUGUGUGUUUCCUUAGAUCUGUGACCCCAGCUUCUGUAAUAAUGUAACGAAAUCAUGUCUGUUUCUUUUUGAAGCACAGUAACUCUGUGGGCAGCAGCUCCUCCUGAGGGAACAUAAAAUAGAAGGAAGCUACUGGGUGCCUGUGGUAACCCUGACAGAACCAGUGCCUGCAACCAGCAUCACUGUAAAGAGGGCACGUGUGUGAUGGUACUUGCAGCUUGGACAGGUGUCCUGGAAGGAAUGGGAGGAGCUCUCAUGCAGGACUGAGAGGGCUUGGCUGAGGUGCGCCCACAGAAUAGGCCUUUGGUUUCUCAAGUGUCAGUUCAGAACCAAUGUCUACCCCAGAGGUACUGCUUAGCAGAGGGACCUACAGGGUCAUGGCUCUGUGCAGUCAGAUUUGGAAUGCAGUAAGCAGUUUCUUUGGUGGUGUGAGUGAAUGCCAAGGAGUUGCUGCUGUCACUGUUCCUGGGACAAGGUUGUCAAUCACUCUUAGGACAUGACACUAUUCUGCCAUUACCUAUUGGUGUUCUAAAAUAUACUUUACAGUAAAGUGAUUCCUGUAACAGCAAAUACUAGCUAGUUCAUUUAAAAUAGCAUUGCUAUACUGAGUUUCAAACAGCAAUGCUUUAAAAUAUGAUUUUAUGGAAGCAUAAUGGGUUUGGUAGUUUGGUUUGGCUUGGCUUGGCUUGGCUUGACUUUGCAACAGACCUUCACCAAAUAGGCCAGGCUGGCCUGGACCUUAAGGUCCUUUGUGAGCUUCCAUAGAGCUAGGAUUAUAGCUGUGUAUCUUCAUACCUGACUGCUUGGGCUUUCUGUUCAAUUUUGUUUUUCACUUAAUGUACUUUUCAAAAUUGAACAUAGGUUUUUUUUUUUCAUACAGUAUAUUGUGAUCAUGGCUUCUCUUCCCUCAUCUCUCAUGUCCUCCCACCUCCUGACCAUUACAGCUUCACUCCUUCUUUUUCUCUUUCUCCCACUUUAAAAACCAAACAG